AGUCUGCAGUUGUGUAACUUCAGUGUCCAAACUAAUGUUAUAUAAUCUGUUAAUAUGGAGAAAUUAUAGAAAAGCUCGAAAUUUUAGACGGAGGUAAACGAAUAAAUGGAUCUUCAAUAGCUAUGCUAGUUGGUGCGAUUCAAACUGAUCAUAAUUGCAUAUAAAAUUAGAUUAGGCAUUCAUUUCAAAUCAGUUACAAUUCAUAAGAACCAUGGAUGAUUGCCAAAGUGAUGAAUGCCAAUCCAUGAAUGGGCAGACACUAACAACCCAGAUCAGAGAUUGGUGCAGCCUUCCUUGCUAAUUGUAUGGUACAGAAUUACUGCUUGCUUCAACCAAUUCGCGUAGUACAGCUUUGUAAGACAUAACCGAAGAACGAAGAAUCAGUUUAGGUACGGAAGGUGGAUGAUUUGCUUCUCCUAAUUAGCGUAAUACAGAUUUCCAUAUCUUACCCGAAGAAGGAAGAACAGGCUAUUUAAUCAGGUCCGACCGCAUUGAGAAUGAAAGGGAAACUUCGAACUGAUUCAGAAACCACUUUACUAACUCAAAUGAAAGGAAAAAAAUGCAUGAUGGGGAUGAGGUUCUUGAGCAGAAUGGCACAUAACAAAUACACCACAUUGUUUUUAUGCAUCAAACCUGACACUCACAAGUCACAAAAUACCACUGCAGUCAUAAUUCUAAAAUGUAAUAAAACUAUGCUUAGAAUAUAUUUUUAUGGUAAAUCUAACUAUGGUGUUCCAGUUGUAUCAGUACAAUUAUAUAGCUGGUGAAGCAAAUACUAUAUCUUAAAUUUGAAGCUGCAAAAUAGAGGGGCUGUUUGGACUCUCUCCACUCUCCAACUCCACGCCGGAGCGGAGCAGGAUCUAGUUCUAAUUUGAGGAGUGGCUGGAAGGCCGCUCUGCUGGCUCCGCUCCGUGGCGAUUUGCCGAACAGGGCCAGAAUAUCAUGAUUGCCAUGAGAUCCGAUAAUGAAAGGUCAAUUAUCAUAAUCUUUUCAUAUAUAUGUACUAAGUGGUACUCAAGGUAUGGUGUCACUGUGAUAGCUCACAUAAAAUAAUUUGAUUAAAUAGUUGCAAGCUAAAGAAGUUUAGACCACAUUAAAUAAUUCAGUUAAACAUUUACAUGCAAAAGAGUUUCAACUGUUACCACUUAAUCUUGUUAUAUCGGCAGAGUUGGAACUCCACUCCUAAGUAAACAGGGACAACCGAGUUAAACAUCACAAAAAUAUAUCACAUCUUAUCAAUCUUGUGGAUCUGAAGUUUUGAAACCAACUUUGGGACACUGAAACUUGCGUGCUGUAAAAUCUACAGAAGAAA